CCCUCAUUCGCAUUCUCUCUCUGGAGAAACCCUAGCCGCCUCCCUCUCCCUCUGAAUGACCAUCACGAAGAAAUUGAAUCAAGUUAUUCAUUUUCAUUUUAUGUCAAUCAAUUAUAGAUCCAAUUAAAUCAAGAUUUUGAUUUUUUUUCAUCUACUGCUCAUUCAAGCGCACAAUUGAAGGAAGAAAUUUUUGGGUUUCGCGUCUCAUUCUCAAUCGGCUAACACCAAGGCAAUCUUAGGUUUUCUAUGUUGAUCCAAUCUUAAUUUUUCAAUCUUUAUUUAUCAUUCUUGAUUCUUGAUGUUAAUUUAAUUUCUUUUCUGCUUUGAUUUGUCUAUGGUUUGAUAUUAUUAUCCGAUCUGUUUAUUCUCAUCAUUACUUGGAUUCCUAAUUCGUAUCACUUCAACAUCAGUGAGCUGCAAACUAAGAGCUGUGUAUGGGGAGAUGGAUGAUAUUAUGGAAGUGAUGAAGAAGGAAACAAUUGAUUUGGUUAGGAACUGUAACCUAUAUCUGUGUGUUUGUGGGUAUGAGUGGUUUCUUAACAUAUUAUGAUGUUAAUGGUGGCUUUUCCCAGACUACUUGAUUGUUAUGAUGUUAAGGAGUGUGAAACUUCUAAUACAUUUAUAUAUUUUUUUUGGUGUACGAUUACUGGAUUAAAAUUUGAACUAGGAAACAAUUCCACUUGAGGAAAUUUUUGAAAAUUUGAGAUGUUCGAAAGAAGGGCUAAUAUCAAAGGAUGCGUAUAAUAGGUUAGAGAUUUUGGGGGACCAUAAGGUUGAAGAGAAGGAGGUGUGUGGGAUACCUUACCGGCAUGUUUAAUUAUUUGUUACUUAUUGGGAGAGCAAAAUUUUGA
rnacentral:lncRNA from 1 species